ACGGGAGGCAGCAGUAGGGAAUUUUCGUCAAUGGGGGGAACCCUGAACGAGCAAUGCCGCGUGAGCGAAGAAGGUCUUCGGAUCGUAAAGCUCUGUUGUAAGAGAAAAAUGGCAGAUAUAGGAAAUGAUAUCUGAGUGAUGGUAUCUUACCAGAAAGUCACGGCUAACUACGUGCCAGCAGCCGCGGUAAUACGUAGGUGGCGAGCGUUAUCCGGAAUGAUUGGGCGUAAAGGGUGCGUAGGUGGCACGAUAAGUCUGAAGUCAAAGCUGGCAGCUCAACUGUCACACGCUUCGGAAACUGUCGAGCUAGAGUGCAGGAGAGGGCGAUGGAACUCCAUGUGUAGCGGUAAAAUGCGUAGAUAUAUGGAAGAACACCAGUGGCGAAGGCGGUCGCCUGGCCUGUAACUGACACUGAGGCACGAAAGCGUGGGGAGCAAAUAGGAUUAGAUACCCUGGUA
rnacentral:rRNA from 1 species